rnacentral:rRNA from 1 species
GACGAACGCUGGCGGCGUGCCUAAUACAUGCAAGUCGAACGAAGCUGUUUUAACUGGUGCUUGCACCGACUUAAACAACUGAGUGGCGAACGGGUGAGUAACACGUGGGUAACCUGCCCCAAAGCGGGGGAUAACAUUUGGAAACAGAUGCUAAUACCGCAUAACCACAGAAACCACAUGGUUUCUGUGUCAAAGAUGGUUUCGGCUAUCACUUUGGGAUGGACCCGCGGCGUAUUAGCUAGUUGGUAAGGUAAUGGCUUACCAAGGAAAUGAUACGAAGCGAAACUGGGAGGUUAAUCGGCCACAUUGGGACGGAGACACGGCCAAAACUCCAAGGGGAGGCAGCAGUAGGGAAUCUUCCAAAAUGGACGAAAGUCGGAUGGAGCAACGCCGCGUGAGUAAAGAAGGUUUUCGGAUCGUAAACCUCUGUUGUCAGAGAAGAACGUGUGCGAGAGUAACUGUUCGUGCAGUGACGGUAUCUGGCCAGAAAGCCAGGGCUAACUACGUGCCAGCAGCCGCCGUAA